rnacentral:rRNA from 1 species
AGCGAACGCUGGCGGCAGGCUUAACACAUGCAAGUCGAGCGGGCGUAGCAAUACGUCAGCGGCAGACGGGUGAGUAACGCGUGGGAACGUACCUUUUGGUUCGGAACAACACAGGGAAACUUGUGCUAAUACCGGAUAAGCCCUUACGGGGAAAGAUUUAUCGCCGAAAGAUCGGCCCGCGUCUGAUUAGCUAGUUGGUGAGGUAAUGGCUCACCAAGGCGACGAUCAGUAGCUGGUCUGAGAGGAUGAUCAGCCACAUUGGGACUGAGACACGGCCCAAACUCCUACGGGAGGCAGCAGUGGGGAAUAUUGGACAAUGGGGGCAACCCUGAUCCAGCCAUGCCGCGUGAGUGAUGAAGGCCCUAGGGUUGUAAAGCUCUUUUGUGCGGGAAGAUAAUGACGGUACCGCAAGAAUAAGCCCCGGCUAACUUCGUGCCAGCCGCCGCAGUAAAAC